ensembl:snRNA U6 U6 spliceosomal RNA
GUGCUCACUUUGGCAGCACAUAUACUAAAAUUGGAACCAUACAGAGAAGAUUAGCCUGGCCUGUGCACAACGAUGAUGUGCAAAUUUGUGAAGCAUUCCCCAUUUUU